CAUCUUCAAAAAGCUGUUCAGCAGAAGGAAGCAUGCAGUGCUCCAAAAUAUCUUGGUUAACAGGUGCAGUGACUUUGGUUUAAAAAAAAAAAAAAAACACAAUGGACCAACACCAGCAGAUGACGUUGCACCCCAAAUCAUCACAGACUGUGGUAACUUAACACUGGACUUCAAGCAACUUGGGCUAUGAACUCUUCCCCCAGACUCUAGGACCUUGGUUUCCAAAUGAAAUACAAAACUUACUCUCAUCUGAAAAGAGGACUUUGUGCCACGCUGUCUGGUCUCUGUUUCCCUGAGUCUUCACUAGUGGUCUCACUUACCCAUAGGCACCUCAGCAUAGGCACAACAAUUCCCACAAAGCCUUGUCCCUUCAUCAGAGUAAUUGCACUCCUGUUAAUUGCACUCAGGUGUCUUCACUUGAUAGUCAUUACCCUGCCUAUAUUAACCGGUCUUUUUCUGUUUGUCUUCAUGGAGUCCUUUCAUUCCGUCACCCUGUUUCCUUGCCUUCCGAGGGUCCUCGUUUUCUGUUCCCUUUCCUGUUUGUUUAUUUUUGGAUGGAUAUAUGGUUUUGACCCCUGCUUGUUGGAUGCUGAUUUGGAUUACCCAUUAAAACCCACACUGCAAUUGGAUCUCUCGUCUCCUGUGUUUUCGCUGGGUUCCGAUCGUAACACUUUCGACCACUGGGCAACAGUACAUUUCUUCUUCUCCUUAGCCCAGACGGUAUGGAUUUUUAUCCUCCUCUCCUCCCCCUUCAUCUCUCGGGGGUGUUUGGAGAACCAGGGAAGUUGUGGACACACCAGGAUGCUGAGAGACUGUUCAGACAGGCUGACAGACAGCCUGCUUCUCCCGCUGAGAAUGAUGAUGGGGAGUCAGGGAGAAGGGACCGUUGGUGUACUUUGAAAGCUGUGGGGACACGAUGUGUGCGAAACAGACAAGAAUGUGAAAAGUGAAGUAUAACCCAGGCCAAAAUCAAAAUUGCUGAUGAGAUGAAGAUUAAAAUAUCUAGUGUGAAAAUGAGAAUGUUAUGUUUUUUUAUGAUAAAAUUGUUUUCAGUGUUUUGGCAGAUGGCCAUAUACUGAAAUCCCCCAUGCCAUUGUCCAUUGCUGGAAAACAAUUAUAUUUUAAAACAUUCAAAUGGUGGUCUCUACUGAUUUUGCUUUCAAUUGCAUGCAGUCAAUAAACCUUGGAUGCACCAUUUAAA